UUCCAGACUCCUACGGGAGGCAGCAGUGGGGAAUAUUGCACAAUGGGGGAAACCCUGAUGCAGCGACGCCGCGUGAGUGAAGAAGUCUUUCGGUAUGUAAAGCUCUAUCAGCAGGGAAGAAGAAAGACGGUACCUGACCAAGAAGCCCCGGCUAACUACGUGCCAGCAGCCGCGGUAAUACGUAGGGGGCAAGCGUUAUCCGGAUUUACUGGGUGUAAAGGGAGCGUAGACGGCAGUGCAAGUCUGGAGUGAAAGGCGGGGGCUCAACCCCCGGACUGCUCUGGAAACUGUACGGCUGGAGUGCAGGAGAGGUAAGUGGAAUUCCUAGUGUAGCGGUGAAAUGCGUAGAUAUUAGGAGGAACACCAGUGGCGAAGGCGGCUUACUGGGCUGUAACUGACGUUGAGGCUCGAAAGCGUGGGGAGCAAACAGGAUUAGAUACCCCUGUAA
rnacentral:rRNA from 1 species